rnacentral:rRNA from 1 species
UACGUAGGGCGCAAGCGUUAUCCGGAAUUAUUGGGCGUAAAGAGCUCGUAGGCGGUUUGUCGCGUCUGCCGUGAAAGUCCGGGGCUCAACUCCGGAUCUGCGGUGGGUACGAGCAGACUAGAGUGAUGUAGGGGAGACUGGAAUUCCUGGUGUAGCGGUGAAAUGCGCAGAUAUCAGGAGGAACACCGAUGGCGAAGGCAGGUCUCUGGGCAUUAACUGACGCUGAGGAGCGAAAGCAUGGGGAGCGAACAGG